GUCUCACUGGCGCAAUGGUCAGUGUGUCCCACCUCAAAAUAUAAAAUAUAUUUCUGACGUCUCAAAAGGUAGCGUGUUAGACUCCUAAUCUAAAGGUUGUGGGUUCGAGUCCCACGUGAGAUG
rnacentral:tRNA from 1 species